rfam:Candidatus Portnoybacteria bacterium RIFCSPHIGHO2_12_FTLL_40_11 rifcsphigho2_12_scaffold_14726, whole genome shotgun sequence.
GGGCCUGUAGCUCAAUUGGCUAGAGCACCCGCCUUGCACGCGGAAGGUUACCGGUUCAAGUCCGGUCAGGUCCA